rnacentral:rRNA from 1 species
GAUGAACGCUAGCUACAGGCUUAACACAUGCAAGUCGAGGGGCAGCAUGAACUUAGCUUGCUAAGUUUGAUGGCGACCGGCGCACGGGUGAGUAACACGUAUCCAACCUGCCGAUGACUCGGGGAUAGCCUUUCGAAAGAAAGAUUAAUACCCGAUGGCAUAGUUCUUCCGCAUGGUGGAACUAUUAAAGAAUUUCGGUCAUCGAUGGGGAUGCGUUCCAUUAGGUUGUUGGCGGGGUAACGGCCCACCAAGCCUUCGAUGGAUAGGGGUUCUGAGAGGAAGGUCCCCCACAUUGGAACUGAGACACGGUCCAAACUCCUACGGGAGGCAGCAGUGAGGAAUAUUGGUCAAUGGACGAGAGUCUGAACCAGCCAAGUAGCGUGAAGGAUGACUGCCCUAUGGGUUGUAAACUUCUUUUAUACGGGAAUAAAGUGAGGCACGUGUGCCUUUUUGUAUGUACCGUAUGAAUAAGGAUCGGCUAACUCCGUGCCAGCAGCCGCGGUAAUACGGAGGAUCCGAGCGUUAUCCGGAUUUAUUGGGUUUAAAGGGAGCGUAGGCGGACGCUUAAGUCAGUUGUGAAAGUUUGCGGCUCAACCGUAAAAUUGCAGUUGAUACUGGGUGCCUUGAGUACAGUAGAGGCAGGCGGAAUUCGUGGUGUAGCGGUGAAAUGCUUAGAUAUCACGAAGAACUCCGAUUGCGAAGGCAGCUUGCUGGACUGUAACUGACGCUGAUGCUCGAAAGUGUGGGUAUCAAACAGG